rnacentral:tRNA from 1 species
GUAGCUCAGUUGGUAGAGCACCUCCCUUUUAAGGAGGUGGUCCUGGGUUCGAGCCCCAGCCAGGUCACCA